AUGCUUUAAAAGAUCGACUAUGCGGCUACAGCUUCCUCUUUCCGCUCUGCAAGACUAUCAUAGCACAUGUGGGUGCUUAAGACGCUAUUGUUGGAAGUUAAAACUUGGAUGAUUUUAGGUGCAAGUUGUACUCACUCUACAGUGGUGAAGUAAGGUGAACCUUCUCAGGAUUUUGUAUCAGUUUAACUUGCCGUAAACUAGCAUAAUCUUGAAGUUAACGCAGCCGCAUCAGGCCUUGAACAGCCACGUGGGAGUGAGCAAGUUUUAAGACAGAGGUGAGAUGUUAUCUUUGUAAUCAUUUUAGCAUCACGAUUGAUGUUUCAUCACUCUAGGCUCUUACAUUGCUUAGUUGUCUCCUUGUACCAGGCAGUAAUAGUUUUCUGUUUUUCAGAUGGACGCCAUGUCACUUUCCUCAGUGGGCCGUAUGGAGAGUCCACAUGUCCCCGAGAGGUAAAUGAUAGCUAAGUUAACCAUAAUGUCUCUUCUGUUGUGUCAGUGAUGAAAACUGUGAAUAGGAAGUGCCGUCUGAUGCGAUAACUGACGAUGUUUCAUACUCACUGUUCUGAGACUUUAGAUAGCAGUUUCUAGAUGCUGAUCUUUUUAUUAUCUGUGGAGAUGACUAACUUUUUUUUUUUGGUUGUUUUUAAGAAAUCUUCAGAUGUUACCUAUUGAAGAUCAAGGAUGAAGCUGGAUUGAGGUUGGUUUCCAAAUUGUGCUCCUUAACUGGGUGUUGUGCAAAACAUUAUAAAAUUCAUCAGUUUAUUGAACAGAUGAAACUUAAACAUCACGUCUUCUAUUUGUUUUGUAGCUGAAAAACUUGGUUGAGCUGCAUCAGGAGAUGUGAAGUCCAGGGAAUGCACCUGCUAAGAAUGGCGAGUCUUGGGUCCAUAGGUAAGGCUGUCCUCAUUGUAGCCUGUUGUGAAUUCUCUUUCCACACACCAACACCCACUUUUGACACCAGCAGGCCAGUAUUCUGGUUGUAACGAGAAUUUUAGGUCAAUUGUGUACAGAGGACUGGCAUUGAUACACAGGGUGUGGCCCUUGUGUCUGCCGGAGCCCCACCAGAGGGUGCUGUCAUACCAUUCAUACCCUCAAUGCCGUACUAACAAAUCAAGUCCCAUACUGCCAGCACAUCACAGUGGUAUAAAGUUACCUACAAAGACAGUUUUUGAUGGUCUCUGAGUUUGUGUAAUACAGCUGCUCUUAUCAGAUCAUCUUAUGUUUAUUAUUCUCUUCAGGCACGGCCCUUUGUAGGCUCUCUACUUAACCAGCCCAGUGAAGAUGCGCUGUCUGCAGGUAAGGUUUUAUUAUCGGUUAUUAAAGUGGUAAAUGUCUGCUUCUGUUGUGAUGAAACCUAAACUAAAAUAGCUGGAAUUACCGUCAGAUUGUUGGUGGUGAAUAUUGGUUUUCUGAACACAAAACUAAGAAUUCUUUUUUCUUGAAGAGAUUUGAUCGGUAUUAGUUUUUACAGUUUUUCUUUCUGAUGUCUCAAGGCAGAGCUGGUUCCUGUGAAAGGCUGGUUCACCUCAGGAUGGUGCUGCUGCCAUGACCUUUGAUUCUUGUAAGUUACAGUCUUAAACUUAUUUCAAAUAAGCUUCUGCUCACAAAAAUUCUCAAUACAUAACUGAUUUGAACACUAAUCAGGCUUGUAGAUGACUUCAAAAGAGCUGAAAGAAUCUGGAUUUCUGAAAUUGAGUAAAGGAAAGCAACCUAACAAAUGCAACUAAAAUGAGUAACAGAUGUUGCAUUAAUUGUUUCAGCCGUGAUCUCAAAUGUUGAACUGUUGGCACUCUCUUAAUCUGUGCUACAAAAAAACUGAAAUUCAUAGUAAGAGUUGAAACAGUGCUGAAGGAACCAUUUGCAGCUGAAAAUGGCGUUUAAGUUAAGAAUUUUGUCAAGUGAGCAUUUUAUUGAGCUUAUUUGAUCAUUGGAUAUCCUUGAGUAGCUUCUGUCAGUGAUGAAAACCUGGAAUAGGAAGUGCCGUCAGAUGCGACAACUGACGAUUGUGUUUAAUCCACUCCUCUGAGACCUUGAAAGCUACCCACUCGAAGGGAUAAGUUGUUAAAAUGAAUUCUUGGCAUCUAAUUUUUUACCUGUUUCUAUCAUAGGUGACACUAUGCUGGUCAGGGCCUUUCCCAGUCUUCAGUCUUUGGCAGGUAUAUUGUUUGUAUUUAACAGUCAACUAUUUGUCAACUGUUGUAAUGAUGAAAUCUAAACUGAAAAUAGCUGGAAUUACCGGCAGAUUGUUUGGUGGUGACUCUCGGUUUUCUGAACAAUAAAUGGCAGCAGCUUAAAAACUACAUUUGGUGAAGUGAAGAAGUUUAACAUUCAGGUCUCUCUUCCCUUUAGAUUGGAAACAUGGUCUCUGUGGCUGCCUCCGUUUUUCUGAAUUCUACAGAUGGUAAGACAUCACAUGAGUAACAAUAGAGAGUUUUUACUUUGGUAGUGGGAGACUAGACGUGUUUCUUUGCAUCUGAAAUUCUUCUCGGAGUGGUGAGGGGAAAAAGUUAGCUGCCCCCUACAGGUAAAACUCUGUUACUUAGGGAGCAAAUAUUAUCUAGGCCCGCUCUUAAGCUGGGGAAAUUGCUGCAUAAAAGAGAGCUAUGGAUGGGCUUUACAGUGUUUCUUUUAGUUCAAGAAAAACAUCUGGCUUUCCCUGUUUCUGUGCAGUCUAAGAUGAGCUCCAGAGAUCAAAUCCUAAUGAUCAUCACUAUCAUCAACUUUAGUGAGGGAUGUUUCAGAGCAUUUCAUUAAAGUGCAUCUUUUUCCUAAUCGACUUGCUCAUUUUCUAUUUCAGAUGGCAAGAGACAACAUGAACACUAACCUGGUGAUGGGUGUCAAAGAAGAAAAACAUUUCACUCUGUAAAAAAAAAAAAAAAGCACAUUUUCUACAGUUUCAAUAAAGUGUCAAAUCAACCUGA
rnacentral:lncRNA from 1 species